GACAGGGGUCUCGAGCGUUAAUCGGAAUUACUGGGCUUAAAGGGUGCGUAGGCCGGCCCGCAAGUGACUUGUGAAAUCCCCCGGCUCAACCGGGGAACAGCUCGUCAUACUGCGGGUCUUGAGGAAGGUAGGGGUUGCCAGAACUGUAGGUGGAGCGGUGAAAUGCGUAGAUAUCUACAGGAAUGCCGAUGGUGAAGACGGGCAACUGGGCCUUUCCUGACGCUGAGGCACGAAAGCGUGGGGAGCAAACAGG
rnacentral:rRNA from 1 species